UGGCACCAUAAUACGAAAUGAAUCUUAAGUGGUCAUUAUAGAUUUUAAGAUAGAGUUUUAAGUGAUUACCAGAUACUUUAGCUGCUGAACCGCCACAUCAUGGUUGCCACACAACAAUUUCAAACAGAACCUAAAUAACUUCAUUGCAAAACAGUUAAAUGAAUCUAACUUAGUUUCGUCGUUUGAUUUUCAGCUGUUUUUAACAAGGAAGAUGAUAUUGGAACCUACACUAUCAAAGCGGUUGAUGAUCCGAGAACCUUGAACAAAAACUUUUACAUUCAGCCUCCCGGUAAUAUUUACUCAUUCAAUGAUCUUGUGUCUCUGUGGGAGAGAAAGAUUGGUAAAACCCUCGAAAAGGAGUAUGUUUCAGAGGAGCAGCUCCUAAAGAAUAUUCAAGGUUGGUUAAAACUCUCUUUUUUAAAUGUAUUAAAGAGAGCCGUAUAUUCUCUGCCGUAAAUGUUAUUGAUCCUGUCUUCUCCAAAAUGUUGCAGAAGCUGCACCUCCACACAAUGUGAUAUUAUCAAUUUAUCACUCUGCUUUCGUGAAGGGAGUUCAAACCAACUUCAAGAUUGAACCAUCUUUUGGAGUUGAAGCCUCGCAGCUUUAUCCUGAUGUCAAGUACACUACAGUUGAUGAGUACCUCAAUCAGUUUGUGUAACCCUUCUCUGUUUCCAGCUGCAGCUUGCAGGAUCUUGGACUCUUGGUAAAUAAAUAAUUGGCUUGUUGCCAUCUUUGGUUUUAUAUGUAAAAAUUAUGGUUGUUGGCCUUACUUUCUUCUGGUUGUCCAUGGAAUUUGUUAGACCAUAUUAUGUUUGCUAUGUCAGUGAUCAAAUGAAGUAGGCCAUGUACUUGAUUUGAGAGUAGUAGUUAUAAAAAGCCAUCAUGAUCAGGUGGGUGCGUGGGUUGGGCUUCUAUUAGGGUGCGUGUGUUGGGCUUCAGGGGCUUGUGAUAUGGGUUCGACAGCCCCUAACGGGCAGUCAUUAUAAAAAUAAUUAUAGAGUUACAAAUCUAUGUAAAAAGCAAAAAUUAAAAGUAAUUUAUCAAUAAAAAUAAUUAAAAUUAAUAAAAAGUAGGUAUGAUAUUUCAGAAAUUAAAUUAAAGAUAGCAUUCUAAAGAGUUGGAUAAUCCUCCAACUAAACUAAAGAUCUAGUACAUUUGAGAGCAAAUUUAAUUAAAGAAAAGGAUAAGGAAAAACAAUAGAAUAAUAAUAUUAAAAAUUGCAAAUCUUGGUCUUUUUUUUUUACGAUGAUGUUGAUUUCUUAUAAAUUUAAUCUUAUCUAUAGAAUUAUUUAGUUACUGUAUGUCAAAAUUUCCUAUAAAGAUGAAGAAAAAUUAUAUUAGGAGAAGAUCCAAAUCCGUUUAACUGAUGCAUCAUCAACAACAUGAGUACAACAUUUUCGAAUAAACAAAAGAAACUCGUUUUAUGUGCGAACCAGUUCCAAAAUAAAGAGCAGACUAUUGGAAGGAGACAAAUACUACAAGAAGAACAAAACAUUCUACAGUUCCUACAUGAGCCCGCAACAAUUAAUUAUUAACUCGACAUUCAUUACACUUUUUCUUUAAUUUGACAAAGAAACCAAAAAUAAGAUAAAAUUGACUAAGAAAUAAAAAAAUGACCAAAAUCUUUUUGAAGUUUUGCCAGUUCAGCCAUGCACGCUUAUCUUUAUUCACUUGUUUCCUUUCUUUCCUGGAGCCUUCACAAAUCCUUUACCUUUCUGAGCCUUGCCAAUUUUCCCCUUCUUCAAACCACCUGGCCUUGCUGGAUCCACGUGUCCUUGCAUCCUUUUUCAUUCGUGGAUCAACAAGAAUCUCCCCCUUUCCAACUCUCUCUUGAACUCCUUUCUUUGCGACCAUGUAUUCUUUUGUAGGCCUUUUGGGUAUAGUUGUCUUGUAUAAUUGUUCAAUUUGAUUCCUCUUCGAACGAUCAGAGAUGUCCGCUUAGUCUAAUAUGACAUUUGCCUUCUUGCGAACCUUCUCAAGAUUUCGCAUGGCAACCCGUAUCUUUCGAGCUUUGGUCUUAGCCACCUUCUUGGCAAUAAGGGUGGGCGAUUCGGUUUUGGGAUAAACUUUUGGUUUCGUAUCGGUUUAGAUUCAAAAAUAGUAUAAAAAAAUAUUUAGAUUUUAUGGGAAAAAAUCUGAACCGAAACUGACCUAUCGAUUUCGUCUCGGUUUCAGUUUAGUUUCGAUUCUCCUAAUAGUUUUGUUUUGCCUUAUUGACUUCCGGUCAAGGACACUUUUGAAAAAUUUACAAACAAAAAAAAAUUGGCCAUAACAAAAUUUCUAUAUGUAAAUAUUUCCUAAACAUUGGGCUAUACUAAAUUUUUUUAAAAGGUAGGGAUCCAAACGAUAUUAUCCCUCUACUUCAUCUUCAACCUUCGUCACUUAGCAGCUACCACAGUAUCGAAAUGGAAAAACUAAAAAAGCACCGUAGGAUACGCAUAUCCACACAUAUCUAAUAAAACUAAAUAUUAUUAAUAAUUUAGUAUAGUAAUAAUAAAACAAGACAAACAUGAAAUUAGAAAAGACUAAAGAGCUUUUUAAGAAAAAAGCCAUUUAAAAAACGAAAAAUAGCAAGUUAUUUGGCUAGUUAACUGGCGACAGAAGUAAUGGAAAGAAGCAACAACGGCAGCGGCAGGUCAACAACGAAGAUUCAGCAGCACCGACCACCCACAGACUUGGAUUCGAUUGCAAAGUUGGGACUUAGGAUUUGGGUUUGUGGCUGCUGAAAUUGAAAGCGAGAGAGUAGAAAGUAGAGACUGAGAGUGGUGCAAACAUGUGUAAUUCUGUGUGUGUGUGUGUCUAUAUAUAUAUAUAUAUAUAUAUAUAUAUAUAUAUAUAUAUAUAUAAUGUGAAAUUAUAAAAAUGCCAUUAUAUCGGUUCGAUUCGAAUUUUGUAACUUGUGAUCCGAAAACUGAACCAAAUCGAAUCAUUUGGUUUGGUAUUUAUAUAUUCGGGUUUUUAAUUUAAAAAAAACUAAAUUAAAACUGAAAAAACCAGAACCGAAUUUUUUUUUUUUUUUUUGUUUCGGUUCAAUUCUGCCCAUCCCAACUUAGUAGGCUGGGCAUCAAUUUCUUUGAAUUGUGCUUUCAUUGCAGUAAUCUCCUCCUUGGUAAUAGGUUUAAUUGCUUACUGAUGCCUCAUUUCCUCUAGUAACAACUAGUCUAACAAGUCAUCAUCGUCAAACAUGUACCUAUUAUAAGCAUCAUCCAGAAUUUGCUCUCUUUGCAUUUUGCUUAGUGUCUUCUUUGCACAAGCUAAUAUCUCAGCUUUUUGUAUCAAUAUCUUUAUCUUUUGAUUCACCAGCGGAUGAAUCAUCACCGGAAUAGAGUGGUGAAGGCCCCAUAGAUCAGUGUGAUCAAGUUCUAGUGUAGUUUUGGUUUUGAUUUCAGUAUUAGGAAAAUGAAGCCUAUGAAAUUUACCAAGCUAACAUGCUUCACAAAAGUGCUUUAAUACUUGACUAUGAAUACUUGAAGACGAUAAAUGAGGAUAAAUAAAUUUAAGGCAAAUGUUAUGUUACAAUUAAUGUAACAUACACACUCAAUAACAACCACACAAAUUUUGUGGGCCCAUUAUUUGUGUGGUUGUUGUUGAGUGUGUAUGUUACAUUAAUUGUAACAUAGGGGCUCCCUAAAUUUAAAUAUGCAUUAGAUUUUGAGGGUUGGGAUGUCAAAACUUUUGGUGAAAAAGAGUUAGUACAAGCAUUUUUAUUGAGAUUUAAAACAUUUCUUAAGAUGAUCAAUGCUAGUUACAGAAUAGGAAUGAAAAAAAAAGGCAACAUAGACAAAGGUUUGUUUAUUUGAUUGUAAGAUAGAAAAGACUUGUAUUUAGGUUGUGGAAAGGAUUUGAGCAGCAAUUUAUACAACCUUUUCUCAGCAAAACCUUCCUCUUCAAUGAAUCCUUCACAAAACAAAUAGAUCCAAGAAAUUUGACAAAUAAAUUGUUGUCAAUGGUAAGUUUUGAAAUGCUUAAUAGAUUCUUUGUAAUGGAUGGAACAAACAAUACAUCCUUAAGUAAAAUAUGUCUUAUAUUAUCUUUUUUUUUAAUUAUUUUUAAAAAAUAAGUGAAUAAUAGUAUGUCAAUCUCAAAUAUCAAUAUGUACAAUUUUUAUUUGUGUAAGAAUUUGCAUCCAAUAAUCAUCAAUACAUAAUUGUCUUUUAAUUUAAUUGUUCUCACCUCCCUUCCAAACUUUGAAAAGGUAAAAUAAGAUCAAUCAUGUCGGUGGCAAUUAAUAUAAGGAUUACUUUUCUUAUUUGUAGUAACGUCCUCUGAUUAUUUAGCUGAUUUUCAAGCUACACAUUUAUUCCAUUUGAUGUUGAUAUUAGUAAAAUUAAUGUAAUAUUUAAAAAGGAAAAAAAUCCGUCGAGCUAAAAGCUGAGUAUAAAAUUGAACCCGACCCAAACCAGAAACGCACGCCAACAGCAUGCUUGCGUCAGUCGGCCCAAGCCCAUAAACCCACCAAGCCCAAUCCAAAUAGAAAAAUGAAUUGGAUGCCCGAGAUAGCACAAACAGAUAAGUAACGCUAGCGCUAUCCCCAGUCUCAUAUCUUCAACGGUAUCCAGCCAACAUCUCAAAGUGUUCAAUUUUUUUUUGAAGCUAAAAAAAAAAUUCAAAAUUUUCAAGUGGAAUCUGGGAAGAUGGCAACAAAAAGCAAGAUUCUGGUUAUCGGCGGAACCGGAUACAUAGGUAAGUACUUAAGGUGCGUUUGAAAUUGAAGUUGGACAGGUAUAACUUUAAAACUGCAGCACUAAAAUGUUUGGUAAACACUAACUAUUGUAACUUAAAAACUAUUUAAUAUAAUUUUUCACUUGUAUAAUAAAAAAUUUAUUAUAUCUUUAAUAAUUUUAUCAAAAUUAUUAUUUAAAAUAUAUACAUACUACAUAUUAUUAAUUUUUGUUUUAUAACUAUAAUUUUUUUCCUACCGCAACUGUAAUUUAAAAACUACAGCACCUCAAUCCCAAACAAGACUUUAGUGGAUGCGAGCGCGAAAGACGAUCACCCAACAUUUGCGCUUGUGAGAGACUCCACUCUCUCCACUCCUUCCAAAUCCAAAAUCCUCGACCGUUUCAAAAAUCUCGGCGUCAAUUUAGUUCCUGUGCGCCACUCUUUUAGCUUUCCAUUUUUCCUGCCAAUUUUCUUUUAUUGUGAUUAAUUAAUUAAUGUAAAGAUUUUAUAUUAUAAUUUUGUUUUCAGGGAGAUCUAUACAGCCAUGAGAGCUUGGUGAGUGCAAUAAAGCAAGUGGAUGUGGUGAUAUCAGCGAUAGGUCGCACUCAAUUAGCUGAUCAACUCAACAUUAUCGCAGCAAAUUGCGAUAACUAAUUACUUGGGAUUUUAAAGAAGCUGGAAAUGUUAAGGUACUGAUUAACUUAAGUAAAUGCGUUAACUAAUUACUUGGGAUUUUAAAUUCAAAUGCGUGAAUUGUUCUAAAAAAUGAUUUAUGUUUAUUAGUCAGAGAUUCUUUCCUUCAGAAUUUGGAAAUGAUGUUGAUCGCGUGCAUGCCGUUGAGCCAGCAAGAACAUCAUUUGCCACCAAGGCUAAAAUCCGCCGAGCUGUUGAGGCUGAAGGAAUUCCAUACACCUACGUAGCUUCCAAUUUCUUCGCUGGUUUGUAUCUUUCCAGUUUCUCACAGCCUGGAGCCGCAGCUCCUCCAAGGGAUAAAGUGGUCAUCGUAGGUGAUGGAAAUGCAAAAGGCAAAGCGCUUCUGGAUACAUUUACUCUGUACACGCAGUGUGUGGUUACUGUUUAGGGAUAAAAAAGGAGAUUAAUUAAUAAAGAAAAUGAAAUUAUUGAGGGAUUUGCUGAAGAGUUGCGUGCACUCCUCAUUUUUCUCCACCACUCAUCUUACUUGCAAAAUGCAAUGACCAAACUAUCCUCGCCAAAGCCUAGACAUUUGCUUGUGUUCAAAGGCCAUUUAAGGGAGACAAGUACAAAAAAUUAUAAAGGAUAGUGAGCAAAAGAAGAAAAUGGAAGGGGGAGAGUAAAAAAGGGGAGUGGGGCGUUAUCCAGGGAGGAUUUUUAUUUUUAUUUUUUUCCUCUCUUCUCCAUGGCAUCUCUUUCUCUCUUUCUCCCACUAAGAAAUUCUUUCUUUUACACUCUAUUUUACUUUUCUACAAAUUACACAAAAAGCUUUUGGUUUUAAGGCAAUGUUUAUUAAGCCACAUGAACUUGAAAAAGCAUGAAUAAGGGGAUGAUUUUAACACAUUAAUUCACCAACAUUAAUUGGAAAAGAUCAGUUGCCACUUCGAAUCAGAGUAAUUUCUUCGGCAAUAGCCAAAUAUUGAUAUUUGAUCUUGACACUGUAGUUAAAUGAAUGUAACUGGUUUUGUCAUUUGAUCCCCAGCAUUUUUUUAACAAGGAAGACGAUAUUGGAAUCAAUUCUAUCAAAGCGGUGGAUGAUCCAAGAACACUGAACAAAAUACUUUACAUCAGACCCCGUUGCAGUAUCUACUCAUUCAAUGAUCUUGUGUCUCUGUGGGAGGAAAAGAUUGGCAAAGCCCUUGACAGGGUCUAUGUUACAGAGGAACAACUUCUGAAAAACAUUCAAGGUUAGUUAGAACUAUCACUUUAUUCGUUACUGAUGACAACACAUGGAGAAAUUUUCCUUGGUCUUAUCAAGUGGAUAGAUGUAACUGACCGAUAAUGGAAAAUUUUUUCCUUCUCCAAAAUGCGAUAGAAUCUAAUCGGUUUCAACAAUCUCAAGAACAUCUAUUCAUGGUUGUGUUGUUUGAAAUCUGUAUGUAUCAGUUUUCUUUCUAGAUCUCAGAUUGCUCGCAAGGAUGUCAAGUUUUGAUGAUGCUUGCCUGUUUUCCUGUGUUUACAGAAGGCUCAUAUCCACUCAAUAUGAUAUUAUCUAUUGGGCACUCUGCCUAUGUCCUGGGAGAUUAGACCAACUUCGAAAUUGAACCUUCAUUUGGAGUAGAGGCAACCGAGCUUUGUCCAGAUGUCAACUACACUACUGUGGAUGAGUACCUCAACCAGUUCAUAUAAACCUUCUGAGAUGAGCAGCAGGAUCCUAACCAAAAAUUGGGUGGUUUCCAUCCCUGAUUCUAUGGUAUAAAGAUAGCGGCUUUCCAUGCUUUUGCCAGUUCAAUGAAGUUUGUUAGAUGAUGUUAUUUAUACUAUACUAGCAAAGAUCAAGUUGCCUUUCUUGUCAAGAAGCCAAGCUCUGGCAUUGGUUUAUGCUAGUUUUUCACACUAAUAUUGGUAUUCACUAAUUUUUUUUUUUUCAUUUCACACCUCCAUCAUCAGUUGAGAUACCCUCUUGUAUGGUACUAACUUUGAUUUUCCUUAUGCUUCACUUGCUGUCUCUGCAGAUUCGUAAAAGAUCAUUCAUGGAUAAGAUCAGAACAUCAAUGUAAUACAGUAUGCAUUGAGAACUCCCACAUGAGUCUUGUUCUAGUUCUCGUUAGACAUGAAACAUGUUACAGUUCCAUAACUUGAGACAUUGUCAUUCAACAAUUAUCAUCGCAUUAAAACAGUGGCCAAUCCCUAACAGCUACCUUUUGACUCUUCACAUUUUUUUUCUGCAUUUUAUGCGCAUUAAUUAUCCAGACCUAGACUUACUCUUCUCAGCUUGGCCCGUUGGACAGUGAGUGAUGAAACAGAAAAUUUUUCAUGUUUAUGAAUGUAUGAAGUAUCUCUUCUGCACUGCACCGGCAUCCUCCUUAACUGUCAGUAGGAUCACAAUAAGUCGACCAACCAUCUACCGUAUGGAUUAUCUAUAAAUUGAAAUUGGUGUGUAUUAUGGAUCUGUCACUCUGCUGCUUCUGUUUUCUUUUCUAUUUUUACCAAGAAAGAAACAUUGUUAAAACUGAAUGGUUGUUAUCUCGUCUUGUUGUAAUGUUGUGUAUGCUUUCUAGAAAAUAAUGAAGUGCCAAAUAUGAAAAUACUAGUGGCUACCUUACCAUCCUUAAUAAGUUGUCUGAUUGUCACCGUCAACAAUCACUCUCAGAAACUCAUAAUCCAUUUAAGCAUAUUAUAAAAUAAUCAAUUUUGUAUUUGCACCAACUUUUAGUUUUAAAUGACAAUUUCGUUGAUCCCCUCACACUUCUGUACUAAUCAAAUCCACUGAAACUGGACUUUUUUUUUUUUUUUUUUAUAAUUACAUCGAUUGCAAUGGCUAUUGCAGGGAAAAGACAGCCUCUACAGGGAACUAAACUUUCAGAAUUGAUCUUAUGAGGGUUUGAAUAUGCUCUCGUACUAGGUCAAUGGCCUAUUGGUUCGAGACCAUUCACAAAGAAAGAAAUGAGUUUUGCUUGUAUAAAUGAAAGAAAUCCAAAUGAUAACUAAUGUAUAGUGGUACAUGAGAAAAAUAAUUUCAGCCCCUGUGUAAAGUCAAAAAGAGAAAAUAUUAAAAGAAAGGAUAAUGUCAUUGAGUUCGGUGAAGUGAAAGAAAAUAAAAAACAUGGGAUUUAGUCAAACUUAGUGUCCCAAUCAGCAGAAAAAGGUUUUAGAAACUCACCUCAAGUUAAGCCAACUAUUAGGAGCUUUAUUUAAUCAUGGCUUUCUAAUGUAUAGUACUCCAAUACUAAACGAGGGCUACCUCUACGCUUGCAAAUGUAAAUGAAAUUGAGUUCGUGACGCACAAUGAAGUGAGCAAAAUGAGUUGAGAUCUGAGAAUAUAUUAAAGAAAAUAUGAAUCAAUGAAUUUUGGUUAAAAAAAACAAAUGCUGGUUCUUCAAGACCUGCGUGUAUUGUGUAAGUUUUGUUAGGAGAAGGAAAGCAUUUUGGUCUAAAACGCACUAAAUCGGAUUCAUUUGCUUGAUAUCUAAUAAGGGUGAAUUAACCACUCGCCCACAGCAAUUCAAGUACCCAAAAAAGUUUUGUGGGGGCUAAAUUUCUUCUUUAAUUAUAACAAAUAAUUGAGCGGAGGAUAAAAAUUUAGGCCAUGUAUAACAAUAACUAAUAUAAACUAGUCCUAAUAAUAGUAUAAUUGUAAAUAUCAGUUGUAGUCUCAUACAAUAUAAGUUUAUAGAUUAUAAUAUCGGCAUAAAAAGAAAAAUGAUAUCUGACGGUCAAUCAAUAAAAGGACAAAAACUUGGAGUAACAUACCACAAAGUCAAUGUAGCUGGACAGUGAAUAUAAUAUGUAAACAAAUUUAAAUGGGAUAAUACCAUACGGUACAUACAUAACAUUUUAAAACUGAAUUAAAAAAAUAAAAUUAAAACUGAAUUGGAAUUCGUAUGUGUAUCCAGCUACCUUGCCACAGUUGUAAGGUACCCUAACUUUGCAACAAUUUCAUCCUUCGUGCAUUCGGUCACAAAGUCCAAAUUAGGCACGUUUAAGAAUCGAACUGAAAAACUAAAAAAAAGAAUCCGGCGAUAUUUGCGAACCGGAAACGAGCCAGCGUUAUGCUUAUGUCAUUUCAGAGAUAUCAACAGUCGUGCUUUCAGUCCUUAAACCUCAAGGGCAUUUUCGUCCUUUCACUCAAGCGUGAAACUGCAUGUAAGAACUGCUUCGCUUACACGCUCCAUGCACAUUUAAAGGCACCACUGUCGGAUAAAAAAUAUCCAUCCAUUUGAUCAUUUCAAAACAAAACGAAAAAAAAAAUCUCAGUAAUUGAACUGAACGAGUCUCAGAAAUGGCAUCGAAAAGUAAGAUUCUAUUCAUCGGCGGGACAGGGUAUAUCGGUAAAUCCACUGUCGAAGCGAGCGUAAAAGCCGGCCACCCGACGUUCGUGCUCGUGAGAGAAUCCACAAUCUCUGGUCCUUCCAAAUCUCAACUCCUCGAUCACUUCAAAAACCUCGGCGUCAAUCUCGUCAUAGUGCGUUUUCAUUUUUCUCUUUUCUUAAUUUUUUAUUCCGAUCAUUUUUACACGUCGAAGUGUAGCAUCUACUACUUAAUAUACAUAAUGAUAUUAUUAUUUUUUAAUUUUUUUGGGUUGCUGUUAUUAUUAUGCAGGGAGAUGUGUUGAAUCACGAGAGUUUGGUGAAGGCGAUUAAACAAGUGGACGUGGUGAUAUCAACGGUCGGUCACACUUUAUUAGCUGAUCAGGUCAAGAUUAUUGCUGCCAUUAAAGAAGCCGGUAACGUUAAGGUAUAACAUAAUUAAUGUAAAUGUCUUAGAUUCCGAUCAGGAUUGUGCACUCGCGAACACGUGGUGAUUUAUUCUUGGUGUGGAGCUCGCUGUAGAGUAGAGCUCCCAGUUCAGCUAAUAAACACCCCGUCACAUGCGCAAUUGCGCCUCAAAAUAAUUUAAUUGAUUAAUUAAGGAUAAAUACCAAUGGCAUGAAAGCAAUUAAAAUUAGUUGAUGUUUAUAAAUUAUUUAUUACUCAGAGAUUCUUACCAUCGGAAUUUGGAAAUGAUGUUGAUCGAGUUGAAGGCGCCGUAGAGCCAACAAAAUCGACGUAUGACGUAAAGGCGAAAAUCCGCCGAGCCGUUGAGGCAGAAGGCAUUCCGUACACUUACGUAGAAUCUUAUUGUUUUGAUGGCUAUUUCCUCCCCAAUUUGUUGCAGCCUGAGGCCACUGCCCCCCUAGGGAUAAGGUUGUCAUCUUAGGCGAUGGAAAUCCAAAAGGUAAUAUAAUUUAAUUAAGCUCUGUUUGUUUGGUAUGUAUUUCGGUGUUAAUGUUAUUGUCUGUUGUACAAUGGAUGGUCUUGCUUGGUACUGUUGUUGGAGAGCUGCAGUGUUUUGAUAAACACCUCUAUCCUUAGCUUUCAAGUUAAGUUGAUUUUAUACAACACUUGUUUAAUUCAAAACUUGUAAUAUUCUUACUACUUUGAUAAAAAAUAUUACGAUUAAAGCAUUAAUGGCACCAUAAUACGAAAUGAACCUUAAGUGGUCAUUAUAGAUUUUAAGAUAGAGUUUUAAGUGAUUACCAGAUACUUUAGCUGCUGAACCGCCACAUCAUGGUUGCCACACAACAAUUUCAAACAGAGCCUAAAUAACUUCAUUGCAAAACAGUUAAAUGAAUCUAACUUAGUUUCGUCGUUUGAUUUUCAGCUGUUUUUAACAAGGAAGAUGAUAUUGGAACCUACACUAUCAAAGCGGUUGAUGAUCCGAGAACCUUGAACAAAAACUUUUACAUUCAGCCUCCCGGUAAUAUUUACUCAUUCAAUGAUCUUGUGUCUCUGUGGGAGAGAAAGAUUGGUAAAACCCUCGAAAAGGAGUAUGUUUCAGAGGAGCAGCUCCUAAAGAAUAUUCAAGGUUGGUUAAAACUCUCUUUUUUUAAAUGUAUUAAAGAGAGCCGUAUAUUCUCUGCCGUAAAUGUUAUUGAUCCUGUCUUCUCCAAAAUGUUGCAGAAGCUGCACCUCCACACAAUGUGAUAUUAUCAAUUUAUCACUCUGCUUUCGUGAAGGGAGUUCAAACCAACUUCAAGAUUGAACCAUCUUUUGGAGUUGAAGCCUCGCAGCUUUAUCCUGAUGUCAAGUACACUACAGUUGAUGAGUACCUCAAUCAGUUUGUGUAACCCUUCUCUGUUUCCAGCUGCAGCUUGCAGGAUCUUGGACUGUUGGUAAAUAAAUAAUUGGCUUGUUGCCAUCUUUGGUUUUAUAUGUAAAAAUUAUGGUUGUUGGCCUUACUUUCUUCUGGUUGUCCAUGGAAUUUGUUAGACCAUAUUUUGUUUGCUAUGUCAGUGAUCAAAUGAAGUAGGCCAUGUACUUGAUUUGAGAGUAGUAGUUAUAAAGCCAUCAUGAUCAGGUGGGUGCGUGGGUUGGGCUUCUAUUAGGGUGCGUGUGUUGGGCUUCAGGGGCUUGUGAUAUGGGUUCGACAGCCCCUAACGGGCAGUCAUUAUAAAAAUAAUUAUAGAGUUACAAAUCUAUGUAAAAAGCAAAAAUUAAAAGUAAUUUAUCAAUAAAAAUAAUUAAAAUUAAUAAAAAGUAGGUAUGAUAUUUCAGAAAUCAAAUUAAAGAUAGCAUUCUAAAGAGUCGGAUAAUCCUCCAACUAAACUAAAGAUCUAGUACAUUUGAGAGCAAAUUUAAUUAAAGAAAAGGAUAAGGAAAAACAAUAGAAUAAUAAUAUUAAAAAUUGCAAAUCUUGGUCUUUUUUUUUUACGAUGAUGUUGAAUUCUUAUAAAUUUAAUCUUAUCUAUAGAAUUAUUUAGUUACUGUAUGUCAAAAUUUCCUAUAAAGAUGAAGAAAAAUUAUAUUAGGAGAAGAUCCAAAUCCGUUUAACUGAUGCAUCAUCGACAACAUGAGUACAACAUUUUUGAAUAAACAAAAGAAACUCGUUUUAUGUGCGAACCAGUUCCAAAAUAAAGAGCAGACUAUUGGAAGGAGACAAAUACUACAAGAAGAACAAAACAUUCUACAGUUCCUACAUGAGCCCGCAACAAUUCAUUAUUAACUCGACAUUCAUUACACUUUUUCUUUAAUUUGACAAAGAAACCAAAAAUAAGAUAAAAUUGACUAAGAAAUAAAAAAAUGACCGAAAUCUUUUUGAAGUUUUGCCAGUUCAGCCAUGCACGCUUAUCUUUAUUCACUUGUUUCCUUUCUUUCCUUUCUUUGCUGAAGCCUUCACAGAUCCUUUACCUUUCUGAGCCUUGCCAAUUUUCCCCUUCUUCAAACCACCUGGCCUUGCUGGAUCCACGUGUCCUUGCAUCCUUUUUCAUUCGUGGAUCAACAAGAAUCUUCCCCUUUCCAGCUCUCUCUUGAACUCCUUUCUUUGGGACCAGUAUUCUUUUGUCGGCCUUUUGGGUAUAGUUGUCUUGUAUAAUUGUUCAAUUUGAUUCCUCUUCGAACGAUCAGAGAUGUCCGCUUAGUCUGAUAUGACAUUUGCCUUCUUGCGAACCUUCUCAAGAUUUCGCAUGGCAACCCGUAUCUUUCGAGCUUUGGUCUUAGCCACCUUCUUGGCAGUAUGGGUGGGCGAUUCGGUUUUGGGAUAAACUUUUGGUUUCGUAUCGGUUUAGAUUAAAAAAUAAUAUAAAAAAAUAUUUAGAUUUUAAGAGAAAAAAUCCGAACCGAGACUCACCUAUCGAUUUCGGCUCGGUUUCAGUUCAGUUUUGAUUCUCCUAAUAGUUUUAUUUUGCCUUAUUGACUUCCGGUCAAUGACACUUUUGAAAAAUUUACCAAAAAAAAAAAAAAUGGCCAUAACAAAAUUUCUAUAUGCAAAUAUUUCCUAAACAUUAGGCUAUACUAAAUUUUUUUAAAAGGUAGGGACCCAAACGAUAUUAUCCCUCUACUUCAUCUUCAACCUUCGUCAUUAGGGAUGGCAAAAUCCGAGUUCGGGUCCGGGUUUAGCCAUUUGGGAUCCGGACCCGGAUGAAUAUUUUUUGUACCAGACCCGAAAAUAAACCCGCAUUUUUCCACUUCGAGUCCGGUACGGGUUCAACCCGAAAAAAUUCGGGUUCCCUGACUGCGGGUUUCCAACUCGGAUUAAUGAAUCCAAUUGAAAAAAAAAAACUAAAUUCAACAAAAAAAAUCAAAUAGAAAUACAUAUCCAGGAUUUCAGCAAAUCAAAGAAAAAUUAUUUCAUCUGGAAACUAAUUAACAAAAACAACAAUUUUGUUUGGCUGCCCAGAAUCAGCAACCCAAUGUGGCGGCUCGUUCAAAACAUUAGUGUUUUCAACAGAUUUUGGGGUAGGAAAAGCCAAACCUAUCUAGAACAAUGAAUUUGUAUUUUUGGGGGAGAUGAGGUACCUCACUGGUUUGUUGUGUGCGGUGCAGUGUAUCUUAAAUUUGGGGGAUGUGAGAAGGGGAGAGGGAGUGGUAAUAAUGGUGAAAGGUCAAAACCAAUAGAGAUGUCCUUCAAAAUGAGCUUCACACCUGUAAAACAGUGAAAUAAAGGUUAGAGGUGAAGCUGGGGUAUCCCGGUGUUCACACUCCGACGCUCAAGUUAGCAAACUCAAGCUUUUAUGACAAAGAGAACUGGCUAGCCCUCUGUAAAUUAGGGUUUAAGGUUCAAGGAAACCUAUUUUUUGGAAUGUGAGUGUUAAUGGUGAGUGAGAGACCUCUUGGAGAAUGAAACCUAUGCGCCUUUAUAUAUGGAGUACCUCAGCUGCCACGUGACGUACCCUUUUUGGCUAACGUCAUUUUUCAUUUUUAUGAUUUUUGGGUCGUUAUGUUCAUGUUCGCGGGGUAUCUCAUCUUUUAGAAACGUGGCGCGCGCUGGAGAGUGGUCCAGGGUACCUCUGCAGUAGCUGUCGGGUAGGCGGCUGAGGACCACUGUCCUUGGGACAGUGUCUUUCACUUUUGGUAAAGGUGACAGGCGGUUGUCCUCCCUUUUAACACGACAUUUUUUAUUCCUAAUUAUGACAAAAUCGAAUAAUAUCUUUUAAGAGAUGGAGACGUUUCUCAUGGUGGAUAUUUUCGGAAGAUUCUCUUGCAUCUGAUCAGCCGGGUUCCUCCAGUUACGCAGGGUACCUCAAUUUAUGUGGGGUACCUCUAAUUUUAUGGGGUACCACUAUUUGCGCAGGGUACCUUGAAUCAUGCCAAGUACCUUAGAUUAUGCGGAGUACCUCUAAUUGUGCGGGAUACCUCUAUUGCGCUAGGUACCUUGAAUCAUGCCGGGUACCUCAGAUUGUGCGGGGUAUCUCUAUUUGCGCAGGGUACCUUGAAUCAUGCUGGGCACCUCAGAUUGUGUGGGGUACCUUGAGUCAUGCGAGGUACCUCUAAUCAGGCCAGGUACCCUCUAAUUGUGCUGAGUACCUAUAAUCAUGCAGGGUACCUCUAAUCAAGCCGGGUACCUUUAAUCAUGCGGGGUACCUCUAAUCAGGCCGGGUACCUUAGAUUGUGCGGGGUACCUCUAUUUGCGCAGGGUACCUUGAAUCAUGCAGGGUAUCUCAGAUUGUGCGGGGUACCUCAAAUUGUGUGGGGUACUUCUAAUCGUGCGGGGUACCUCUAAUCAUGUCGGGUACCUCGGAUUGCACUGAAGUUAUUCCAUUCGUUGACACGUGGCGUUAUGCUAUCUUUCUUAUUUUUCCCCCAAACAACAUCCCUCUAGUUUCUUUUGGCAAGAAGUUUUGGAGGCAAAAGAAACUUACAUAAAAAGUAGAAGCGACACGUGGCGAUAUGAUGUUUAGCUCGAUGGGUAACUAAAUAGAGGGCGCCUUUAGGGGUACCCUGAGAACCCAAAAAGGGAAGAUGGGCUCCAUUUCCUCGGAAAUGGCUACCACUUUGGACAUGUUGGAAAGGAUAGAGCUAAUUGAUCAAAAAAAUUUCAUCUAUUUCUAGGGAAGAACACCAAAUACGGGUAGAGGGUAUCGUUAGGGUACCCCACCAUUACCCAUAGUUUGUUUUCUAGUGACUGCCAUGUAUAAAUCGCUCUGGUGAAGGCUUCAAUACAUUCUUUGGGCAUUUAAGAAGCAAUUAUUUGAUUAUCUCGGGAUCCACCUUAUUUAAGGGUAUAUUUCCUUCAUGUACUUUGAAGACAAAAAUAAAAUCACAGGGCUUUCUUCCUUGUAACUUCAGAGGUACCCUCGACAGAAGAAUAUAGUCAACAAUGCUUUUAAGCGUAUCAUGAUCGAGGAAUGGAGUGCUGAUCUGGGGUUGGUGGUGCCAAGAGUGGAGAAGAUGGUAGAUGAACCGGCUAUCUUGAAGGCGAUUAACGAUAGCGGGGCUCUCAACACAUCUUGGUCUGAAGGGGUAAUGCAAAUAAGUUUACGUUGAUUGGAUAUUCAGAAGAAGUAAUACGCCAUUAAAAGCAACAAGUUUUCCAAAAAGCCAACAAAGACAGACACCACCACACCACCCCGCGCUGGAUGAAAAACGAUGAAAGCAUGAUAAGUGACAUCGAGUAAGCCACGUUCUCUCUCUCUCUCUCACUCGCACUCGCACUCGCACUCGCACUCGCACUCGCACACACUGUUACUAAAAUAACCAAAAAUAAGAUUCCCAUCAAAAUAUUUUCAAGUAUCGUUCUUGAAAGUGGCGGCGGCUGAUGAUGAUGAACACAGCCGCGAUUGCGAUUGGCGAAGGCGGCGUUCAGCCCGUAUCACAGCUAGUUAUCGGUCGUGGCAGAAAAGAUAAUGAAACGACGGCUGAUGAUGAUAAUGAUGAUGUUGAACAGCCGCAAAUAUGGGUAAGUGAUGCGACGAUGAUUUGAUGAAGAUGAAGAUGAGCUGAAGAUGGAAUAAGAGUGGAAAUGUUUGUGCGGCUGGGAAAGUGUAAUGAGCUGCUAGGGCACCAUUUGGGUUUUUUUGCUUUCCUAUUUAUAUUAAAAAUAAUUUUUAAAAAUUAAUAUAUAUCCGGGUUCGGGUUUUGGAUGUACGGGUUUACCUAGACCCGGACACAUGCGGAUUCAGCAGCACCGACCACCCACAGACUUGGAUUCGAUUGCAAAGUUGGGACUUAGGAUUUGGGUUUGUGGCUGCUGAAACAGAAAGUGAGAGAGUAGAAAGUAGAGACUAAGAGUGGUGCAAACAUGUGUAAUUUUGUGUGUGUGUCUAUAUAUAUAUAUAUAAUGUGAAAUUACAAAAAUGCCAUUAUAUCAGUUCAAUUCGAAUUUUGUAACUUGUGAUCCAAAAACUGAACCAAACCGAACCAUUUGGUUUGGUUUUUAUAUAUUCAGGUUUUUAAUUUAAAAAAACUAAAUUGAAAUUGAAAGAACUAAACCGAACCGAAUUUUUUUUUUUUUUUUGUUUCGGUUCAAUUAUGCCCAUCCCUACUUAGUAGGCUGGGCAUUAAUUUCUUUGAAUUGUGCUUUCAUUGCAGUAAUCUCCUCCUUGGUAAUAGGUUUAAUUGCUUGUUGAUGCCUCAUUUCCUCUAGUAACAACUAGUCUAACAAGCCAUCAUCGUCAAACAUGUACCUAUUAUAAGCAUCAUCCAGAAUUUGCUCUCUUUGCUUUUUGCUUAGUGUCUUCUUUGCACAAGCUAUUAUCUCAGCUUUUGUAUGAAUAUCUUUAUCUUUUGAUUCACCAGAGGAUGAAUCAUCACCGGAAUAGAGUGGUGAAGGCCCCAUAGAUUAGUGUGAUCAAGUUCUAGUGUAGUUUUGGUUUUGAUUUCAGUAUUAGGAAAAUGAAGCCUAUGAAAUUUACUAAGCUAACAUGCUUCACAAAAGUGCUUUAAUACUUGAAGAGGAUAAAUGAGGAUAAAUAAAUUUAAAUAUACAUUAGAUUUUGAGGGUUGGGAUGUCAAAACUUUUGGUGAAAAAGAGUUAGUACAAGCAUUUUUAUUGAGAUUGAAAAUAUUUCUUAAGAUGAUCAAUACUAGUUACAAAAUUGGAAUGAAAAAAAAAGGCAACAUAGACAAAGGUUUGUUUAUUUGAUUGUAAGAUAGAAAAGACUUGUAUUUAAGUUGUGGAAAGGAUUUGAGCAGCAAUUUAUACAACCUUUUCUCAGCAAAACCUUCCUCUUCAAUGAAUCCUUCACAAAACAAAUAGAUCCAAGAAAUUCGACAAAUAAAUUGUUGUCAAUGGUAAGUUUUGAAAUGCUCAAUAGAUUCUUUGUAAUGGAUGGAACAAACAGUACAUCCUUAAGUAAAAUAUGUCUUAUAUUAUCUUUUUUUAAUUCUUUUUUAAAAAAUAAGUGAAUAAUAGUAUGUCAAUCUCAAAUAUCAAUAUGUACAAUUUUUAUUUGUGUAAGAAUUUGCAUCCAAUAAUCAUCAAUACAUAAUUGUCUUUUAAUUGAAUGGUUCUCACCUCCCUUCCAAACUUUGAAAAGGUAAAAUAAGAUCAAUCAUGUCAGUGGCAAUUAAUAUAAAGAUUACUUUUCUUAUUUGUAGUAACGUCCUCUGAUUAUUUAGCUGAUUUUCAAGCUACACAUUUAUUCCAUUUGAUGUUGAUAUUAGUAAAAUUAAUGUAAUAUUUAAAAAGGAAAAAAAUCCGUCGAGCUAAAAGCCGAGUAUAAAAUUGAACCGGACCCAAACCAGAAACGCACGCCAACAACAUGCUUGCGUUAGUCGGCCCAUGCCCAUAAACCCACCAAGCCCGAUCCAAAUAGAAAAAUGAAUUGGACACCCGAGAUAGCAGAAACAGAUAAGUAACGGUCGUGUUAUCCCCAAUCUCAUAUCUUCAACGGUAUCCAGCCAACAUCUCAAAGUGUUCAAUUUUUUUUUAAGCCAAAAAAAAAUUCAAAAUUUUCAAGCGGAAUCUGGGAAGAUGGCGAUGAAAAGCAAGAUUCUGGUUAUCGGCGGAACCGGAUACAUCGGUAAGUACUUAAGGUGCGUUUGAAAUUGAGGUUGAACAACUAUAACUUUAAAACUACAGCACUAAAAUAUUUGGUAAACACUAACUGUUGUAACUUAAAAGCUAUUUAAUAUAAUUUUUCACUUGUAUAAUAAAAAAUUUAUUAUCUUUAAUAAUUUUGUCAAAAUUAUUAUUUAAAAUAUAUACAGUAAGAGAGAUUGUAACAUUUUCAAUCUUUGGUUUGAUAUUCUGGAAGAAAACGGUUUGCCGUUUACGGAGAAAAUGGCUAACCGUUUAAUUUCAGAGAGCAUGUUUUCUAUUCUAGAGAAAACGACUAACCGUUUGGAGAAAAUGGCUAACCGUUUGGAGAAAACGGCUAACCGUUUUGAGAAAACGGCUAACCGUUUAAUUCCAGAGAGCAUGUUUUCUGUUCUAAAGAAAAUAACUAACCGUUUGGAUAAAACAACCAACCAUUAAUUACAGAGAGUAACUUAUUUGACAUUCUGGAAUAAAACGGCUCACCGUUAUUGAGAAAAUGGCUAACCGUUUAUUUCCAGAGAGCGUGUUUUUGCGUCAACUGGAAAAACGGUUAGCAAGCUUGGAAAUUUCAAUUGUCAAUCGAUGCAAACUCAAACCAAAAGAGUGUUUUUUAAAGAAGUACCAUUUUUAAUGGUUGUAUUCUUUCAAAUAAACAUCUUCUUUAUUAAAGAUAAACAAACUAUUAUAUCAUAAUCAGAUUUUGCAGGUUUCAUAUAUGUUCUGGAAAUACAAUCUUAUUUUCUAGAGAUUGUAUUCAGGAUUUGAUAUAUCUUAGGGGUAAUUUGCCAUUAAAACUCUAUAGCAAACCAAGAUUGGUGAGGGCAAAUAAAACCUUAAAGAAAAGUGUGCAAACACGUCUCAAAUCCUAAGAAAUUUUCUUUGUUCUUUGCCUCCAUAUUCUUAAAAUUUGAAAAUUCACCCAUCAAUCUUUAAGGUUUUAUUUUGAUGCAAAUAGAGGCUGAGAAGAGUUUGACGCCAUUUCUUAAUCCUAGUGUCCAUCUCGAUCGUUUUGAUGGAACAAAUUUCACUCGUUGGAAGGGAAAAUUGUUCUUUCUUCUUACUGUUCUUAAAGUGACAUAUGUUCUUGAUCCGAAAUUGGAACCAUUUCCAGAACCAAGAGAAGAUGAUACCGAAGUUGUUAAGGCUGCAAGGAAACGUCGUGAAGAUGAUGAAUUGAUGUGCCGGGGUCACAUACUCAAUACGCGUUCUGACAGGUUAUAUGAUCUCUACAAUUUUAUGACUUCUCCGGUGGAAAUUUGGAAUGCUCUUAAGUACAAAUACAAAACGGAGAAAGAAGGUACUGACAAAUUCCUUGUCUCUAAAUAUUUUGAAUUUAUUAUGAUAGACACACAAUCCAUUCUUGAUCAAAUACAUGAGUUAUAAAUUAUUGUUGCUAAGCUUCGAGAGUUAAAAGUUGAAAUUUUUGAAUCAUUUCAAGUUGGGACUAUUAUUGCUAAAUUGCCUCAAAGUUGGAAUGAUUAUAGAAAGAAACUCCUUCAUAGUAAAGAGAACAUAACUUUAGAAGAAUUGCAAAAACACUUGAUAAUUGAAGAAGAGACUAGGUCUCGCGAAUCCAAGGAUAAGCAUGAUUCUACUAAAGUUAAUGUUCUUGAAGCUAGUAAAUUCUCAAAGAAUUUUAAAGUCAAGAAUGACAAGAAAUUUAAGAAGUCCAGCACACAAAAGUUUUCUGGAAAUUGUUUCUUUUGUGGUAAGAAAGGUCAUCGCCAAAGUGAUUGCAGAUUCAAGAAAAAAAAAAGGAAGAAGUGGAUUCCUAUAAAGCUAAUGUUAUUGAAAACAAAUCUGAAAAGAUUUGUGCUAUGGUUUCUGAAAUGCAAAUUGGCAUGAUUAUCGAAACCAAUAUGGCUGAAACUAAGUCCUAUGAUUGGUGGCUCGAUUCGGGUACAACAAUUCAUGUUUGUAAUGAUAAGAAAUUUUUAUUAUCAUACAAAGAAGAAACGGAAGGACAAAUGGUUCUCAUGGGGAACAAUAAUGCAGCCAUAGUAGCAGGGAAAUGAGUAGUUGAGAUCAACUUCACUUCUAGAAAGAAAGUCACAUUGUAUAAUGUCUUUCAUGUACCUUUCGUUAGGAAGAAUCUUAUUUCUGCUAGUUGUAUGUGUAAGCAUGGGCUUAAGAUUGUGCUUGAGGGUAAUACUUGUAUUAUCUCAAAGAAUGAAUUAUUUGUUGGGAAAUGGUAUUCUUGUGAUGGAAUGUACAAACUCAACAUUAAUAAUAAUAAUAUCAACUUAGCUUAUAUUGUUGAGUCUUGUGAUGUUUGGCAUGCUAAAUUAGCACAUUUGAAUUUUAGAUCUUUGAAAUACAUGUCUGAGCAUGGUUUGAUUAAUUGCAAUGAUGUUAAAGGUCAUAAGUGUGAAAUCUGCAUCCAAGCUAAAUUAACUAAGAAACAUUUUCUUAAAGCCGAACGAAAUACUCAAAUAUUGGACUUAAUAUAUACCGAUAUUUGUGAGUAUAAUGGCGUUUUAACAAGAGGAGGUAAGAAGUACUUUAUCACUUUUAUUGAUGAUUGUUCUAGAUACACUUAUGUGUAUUUACUUAGAACAAAAAAUGAAGCUUUUGAUAAAUUUAAAAUUUUCAAAGCUGAAGUUGAGAACUAAAAAGAUAAGAAAAUCAAAAUGGUUCGUAGUGAUAGAGGUGGUGAAUAUUUCUCAAUUGAAUUUAAUAAUUAUUGUGAAGAAUUUGGAAUUAUUCACCAAAGAUCAGCUCCAUUUACUCCUCAACAAAGUGGUUUGGCUAAAAGAAAGAAUAAGAUCUUCACAGAUAUGAUAAAUUCCAUGAUCCUUAAUGCAAAACUACCAAAUAAUUUGUGGGGGGAAGCAUUACUCACUGCAUGUCAUAUUCAUAACAGAAUUACAUAUUUGAAAACACAUAUAUCUCUUUAUGAAAUUUGGAAAGGAAGAAAACCAAACUUGAUGUAUUUAAGGGUCUAGGGUUGUUUAGCUUUUUAUAAAAUACAUGAUCCUAAAUCAUCAAAGUUAUGUGCUAGAUGUAUAAAGAGUGUUUUCGUAGGAUAUGCUGAAAAUUCCAAGGCUUAUAGGUUGUUAGAUUUAGAUUAUAAUGUGAUUGUGGAAUCUAGAGAUGUUGAAUUUAUUGAGAAUAAAUUUCAACAUGAUUCUAAUAUUGAAUUAGAAUCAAUUAUUGAUCAACCAUGUGUUAAUACUCCUGUUACCUCCACUAACAAUAAUAAAAGGAAAGACUCUAUGACAUCUUUCGAACCAAUGAGGAGUCAAGGUGAAAAGAAAGAAAAGAGUUUAGCUCCGAAUUUUAUUUCAUCACAAGCACUACUCUUCUUGGUUGAAGGGGAUAGAAAGAAUGUACUUAACAAAGUACCAUUGUUGUUAAAUAUUGAAAAAGAUCCAAAGACAUUUAGCGAAGCUAUGUCUUCUAGAGACGCUUCUUUUUGGAGAGAGGCGGUAAAUGAUGAAAUUGAUUCGAUUAUUUCGAAUCAAACAUGGGUCUUGGUUGAUCUUCCUCCAGGAUCUAAACCAAUUAGCAGCAAAUGGGUAUUUAGAAGAAAGUACAAUAGUGAUGGUUCUUUGCAAACUUUUUAGGCUAGAUUAGUAGCCAAAGGGUUUAAGCAAAGAAAUGGUAUUGGUUAUUUCGAUACAUAUGCUUCGGUAGCAAGGUUAACUUCUAUAAGAGUGCUAUUUGCAAUUGCUUCAUUGAAUAAUUUGUAUGUGCAACUAAUGGAUGUUAAAACCGCUUUUCUUAAUGGUGAUCUUGAUGAAGAAAUCUAUAUGGAACAACCUGAGGGAUUUGUUUUACCAGGAAAUGAGAAAAAAGGUAUGCAAGUUAGUCAAAUCACUUUAUGGUUUAAAGCAAGCACCAAAACAAUGGCAUGAGAAGUUUGAUUCGGUAAUUUUAUCUCAUGGUUUUAAGCAUAAUAAUGCUGAUAAAUGUAUAUAUUUUAAAGUUACGAAUGAUUUUGGUGUGAUUAUAUGCUUGUAUGUUGAUGACUUGCUUAUCUUUGGAACAAAUAUGCAAGGAGUAGAUGAUACAAAGAAGUAUUUAACUUCACAAUUUAAGAUAAAAGAUCUUGGUGAAGUAGAUACUAUCUUAGGUGUCAAAGUGAAGAAACAUAGUGGGGGUUACUCGUUGUGUCAAUCUCAUUAUAUAGAGAAAGUGCUUCUUAAAUUCAAUUAUUUGAAAUUUAAAGAAGCUAAUACCCCAUAUGAUUCUAGUAUUAAAUUAUUAGAGAAUUCAGGCCGAGUAGUAGCACAACUAGAAUAUGCUAGUGCUAUUGGUAGCUUGAUGUAUGCUAUGCAUUGUACGAGGCCUGAUAUAGCAUUUGCAGUUUGCAAAAUGUCAAGAUUCACGAGUAACCCUAGUGUUGAACACUGGAAAUCAAUUGGUAGAAUACUUGGUUAUCUUAAAAGGACCAUUAAUUUGGGUUUGUUUUAUAAUGAUUAUCUUGAAGUACUGGAAGGAUAUUCAGAUGCUAGUUGGGUAACCAAUACAAGAGAUAAUAAAUCCACUUCUGGUUGGAUUUUUACAAUUGCUGGAGGAGCAGUUUCUUGGGCUUCAAAGAAACAAAUGUACAUAACUCAUUCAACAAUGGAAAGUGAGUUUAUAGCACUCGCAGUUGCAAGCAAGGAAGUAGAAUGGCUGAGAAAUUUGUUGUUUGAUAUAAUGUUAUGGCCACAACCGAUGCCAUCUAUUUCUUUGUACUGCGAUAGUGAAGCUACAUUGUCUAGAGCUUAUAAUAAAGUGUAUAAUGGAAAGUCUAGACAUAUUAGCUUGAGACAUGAAUAUGUGAAACAAUUAAUAGCAGAUGGUGUUAUUAAUAUUGUUUAUGUUAGGACUAAUAAGAACCUAGCGGAUCCUUUAACAAAAGGUCUUACAAGAGACUUAGUUAAGGAUACAUCUUUUGGAAUGGGAUUGAAACCUUUAAAUAAUAAAGUCACCAACGACGAUAACCCAACUAUGUAGUAGUUGCACCGCUACUCCAUAGUUAAAUGGAUAAUAACAAGUUGUUGUUAUGUGACUGGUUUGGCACCGAGUAAUAAAUAAUCACAUUCGAGAUAUUCGGUGCAAAUAGCUACGAGGUUGAGGUUGAGUAUUUACUCUUAAUGAAGUUCAAGUCUUAUACUAGCUAAAGACAUGAUUUGAAACUUCACCUAAGUGAACAUAAGAAAUGGUGCCGUUUCUAACAAGAUCAUGGUUUAAUCUAGUAAAUGUUUAUGAAUCCAAGAUAGAGCACAAGGCCGGAAUAGUGCUAAAUAUUGGAACACAACUUUGAAAAUCUGGGAUAGCUUAUAUGUGAUGUAUCUCCGGUAUUUACUUAAGAGACAAAGUUUAAUGCUUAGCACACUAUUGUUUUGUAAAUGCUUUGAAAUACACUCACUAAUUAAAGGUUAAAAUCGAAAGAUAUCGUUUUGUAUGUAUAAGUUUAUCAUUAAUAAAUAUGAAAAAUAUUACAAUCUAGUGGGGGAUUGUAAGAGAGAUUGUAACAUUUUCAAUCUUUGGUUUGAUAUUCUGGAAGAAAACGGUUUGCCGUUUAUGGAGAAAACGGCUAACUGUUUAAUUCCAAAUAGCAUGUUUUCUGUUCUAGAGAAAACGACUAACUAUUUGGAGAAAAUGGCUAACUGUUUAAUUUUAGAGAGCAUGUUUUCUGUUCUAGAGAAAACGGCUAACCGUUUGGAUAAAACGGCCAACCGUUAAUUACAGAGAGUAACUUAUUUGACAUUCUGGAAUAAAACGGCUCACCGUUAUUGAGAAAACGGCUAACCAUUUAUUUCCAGAGAGCGUGUUUUUGCGUCAACUGGAAAAACGGUUAGCAAGCUUGGAAAUUUCAAUUGUCAAUCGAUGCAAACUCAAACCAAAAGAGUGUUUUUUUAAAGAAGUACCAUUUCUAAUAGUUGUAUUCUUUCAAAUAAACAUCUUCUUUAUUAAAGAUAGACAAACAAUUAGAUCAUAAUCAGAUUUUGCAGGUUUCAUAUAUGUUUUGGAAAUACAAUCUUAUUUGCUAGAGAUUGUAUUCAGGAUUUGAUAUAUCUUGGGGGUAAUUUGCCAUUAAAACUCUAUAGCAAACCAAGAUUGGUGAGGGCAAAUAAAACCUUAAAGGAAAGUGUGCAAACACGUCUCAAAUCCUAAGAAUUGUUUUUUGUUCUUUGUCUCAAUAUUCUUAAAAUUCGAAAAUUCACCCAUCAUAUACAUACUACAUAUUAUUAAUUUUUGUUUUAUAACUAUAGUUUUUUUUUUACCGCAACUGUAGUUUAAAAACUACAGCACCUCAAUCCCAAAUAAGACCUUAGUAGAAGUGAGCGCGAAAGCCGAUCACCCAACAUUCGCGCUUGUGAGAGACUCCACUCUCUCCACUCCUUCCAAAUCCAAAAUCCUCGACCGUUUCAAAAAUCUCAGCUCGACCGUUUCAAAAAUCUCAGCGUCAAUUUAGUUCAUGUGCGCCACUCUUUUAGCUUUCCAAUUUUCCCGCCAAUUUUCUUUUAUUGUGAUUAAUUAAUUAAUUAAUGUAAAGAUUUUAUAUUAUAAUUUUGUUUGCAGGGAGAUCUAUACAGCCAUGAGAGCUUGGUGAGUACAAUAAAGCAAGUGGAUGUGGUGAUAUCAGCGAUAGGUCGCACUCAAUUAGCUGAUCAACUCAACAUUAUCGCAGCAAAUUGCGAUAACUAAGUACUUGGGAUUUUAAAGAAGCUGGAAAUGUUAAGGUUCUGAUUAACUUAAGUAAAUGCGUUAACUAAUUACUUGGGAUUUUAAAUUCAAAUGUGUGAAUUGUUCUAAAAAAUUAUUUAUGUUUAUUAGUCAGAGAUUCUUUCCUUCAGAAUUUGGAAAUGAUGUUGAUCGCGUGCAUGUCGUUGAGCCAGCAAGAACAUCAUUUGCCACCAAGGCUAAAAUCCGCCGAGCUGUUGAGGAUGAAGGAAUUCCAUACACCUACGUAGCUACGUAGCUUCCAAUUUCUUCGCUGGUUUGUAUCUUUCCAGUUUCUCACAGCCUGAAGCCACAGCUCCUCCAAGGGAUAAAGUGGUCAUCGUAGGUGAUGGAAAUGCAAAAGGCAAAGCGCUUCUGGAUACAUUUACUCUGUACACGCAAUGUGUGGUUACUGUUUGGAGAUAAAAAAGGAGAUUAAUUAAUAAAGAAAAUGAAAUUAUUGAGGGAUUUGCUGAAGAGUUGCGUGCACUCCUCAUUUUUCUCCACCACUCAUCUUACUUGCAAAAUGCAAUGACCAAACUAUCCUCGCCAAAGCCUAGACAUUUACUUGUGUUCAAAGGCCAUUUAAGGGAGACAAGUACAAAAAGUUAUAAAGGAUAGUAAGCAGAAGAAGAAAAUGGAAAGGGGAGGGGGGGGGGGGGAGAAUAAAAAAGGGGAGUGGGGCGUUAUCUAGGGAGGAUUUUUAUUUUUAUUUUUUUUCCUCUCUUCUCCAUGGCAUCUCUUUCUCUCUUUCUCCCACUAAGAAAUUCUUUCUUUUACACUCUAUUUUACUUUUAUGCAAAUUACGCAAAAAACUUUUGGUUUUAAGGCAAUGUUUAUUAAGCCACGUGAAUUUGAAAAAGCAUGAAUAAGGGGAUGAUUUUAACACAUUAAUUCACCAACAUUAAUUGGAAAAGAUCAGUUGCCACUUCGAAUCAGAGUAAUUUCUUCGGCAAUAGCCAAAUAUUGAUAUUUGAUCUUGACACUGUAGUUAAAUCAAUGUAACUGAUUUUGUCAUUUGAUCCCCAGUAAUUUUUAACAAGGAAGACGAUAUUGGGAUUAAUUCUAUCAAAGCGGUGGAUGAUCCAAGAACACUGAACAAAAUACUUUACAUCAGACCCCGUUGCAAUAUCUACUCAUUUAAUGAUCUUGUGUCUCUGUGGGAGGAAAAGAUUGGCAAAGCCCUUGACAGGGUCUAUGUUACAGAGGAACAACUUCUGAAAAACAUUCAAGGUUAGUUAGAACUAUCACUUUAUCAAGUGGAUAGAUGUAACUGACCGAUAAUGGAAAUUUUUUUCCUUCUCCAAAAUGCGAUAGAAUCUAAUCGGUUUCAACAAUCUCAAGAACACCUAUUCAUGGUUGUGUUGUUUGAAAUCUGUAUGUAUCAGUUUUCUUUCUAGAUCUCAGAUUGCUCGCAAGGAUGUCAAGUUUUGAUGAUGCUUGCCUGUUUUCCUGUGUUUACAGAAGCUUCAUAUCCACUCAAUAUGAUAUUACCUAUUGGGCACUCUGCCUAUGUCCUGGGAGAUCAGACCAACUUCGAAAUUGAACCUUCAUUUGGAGUAGAGGCAACAGAGCUUUAUCCAGAUGUCAACUACACUACUGUGGAUGAGUACCUCAACCAGUUCAUAUAAACCUUCUGAGAUGAGCAGCAGGAUCCUAACAAAAAAUUGGGUGGUUUCCAUCCCUGAUUCUAUGGUAUAAAGAUAGCGGCUUUCCCUGCUUUUGCCAGUUCAGUGAAGUUUGUUAGAUGAUGUUAUUUAUACUAUACUAGCAAAGAUCAAGUUGCCUUUCUUGUCAAGAAGCCAAGCUCUGGCAUUGGUUUAUGCUAGUUUUUCACACUAAUAUUGGUAUUCACUAAUUUUUUUUUUUCAUUUCACACCGCCAUCAUCAGUGGAGAUGCCCUCUUGUAUGGUACUAACUUUGAUUUUCCUUAUGCUUCACUUGCUGUCUCUGCAGAUUCGUAAAAGAUCAUUCAUGGAUAAGAUCAGAACAUCAAUUUGAUACAGUAUGCAUUGAGAACUCCCACAUGAUUCUUGUUCUAGUUCUGGUUAGACAUGAAACAUGUUACAGUUCCAUAACUUGAGACAUUGUCAUUCAACAAUUAUCAUCACAUUAAAACAGUGGCCAAUCCCUAACAGCUACCUUUUGACUCUUCACAUUUUUUUUCUGCAUUUUAUGCGCAUUAAUUAUCUAGACCUAGACUUAUUACACUUCUCAGCCUGGCCCGUUGGACAGUGAGUGAUGAAACAAAUUUUUUUUCAUGUUUAUUACUUUUUUUGCAUUCAAAAUGAUAAAACUGCAGAGGUUGUUGCAUGCACGUCAUUUGUUAGUAGGGGUAUCAAUUUAUGAACGUAUGAAGUAUCUCUUCUGCACCGGCAUCCUCCUUAACUGUCAGUAGGAUCACAAUAAGUCGACCAACCAUCUACCGUAUGGAUUAUCUAUAAAUUGAAAUUGGUGUGUAUUAUGGAUCUGUCACUCUGCUGCUUCUGUUUUCUUUUCUAUUUUUACCAAGAAAGAAACAUUGUUAAAACUGAAUGGUUGUUAUCUCGUCUUGUUGUAAUGUUGUGUAUGCUUUCUAGAAAAUAAUGAAGUGCCAAAUAUGAAAAUACUAGUGGCUACCUUACCAUCCUUAAUAAGUUGUCUGAUUGUCACCGUCAACAAUCACUCUCAGCAACUCAUAAUCCAUUUAAGCAUAUUAUAAAAUAAUCAAUUUUGUAUUUGCACCAACUUUUAGUUUUAAAUGACAAUUUCGUUGAUCCCCACACUUCUGUACUAAUCAAAUCCACUGAAACUGGACUUUUUUUUCUUUUUUUUUAUAAUUACAUCGAUUGCAUUGGCUAUUGCAGGGAAAAGACUGCCUCUACAGGGAACUAAACUUUCAGAAUUGAUCUUAUGAGGGUUUGAAUAUGCUCUCGUACUAGGUCAAUGGCCUAUUGGUUCGAGACCAUUCACAAAGAAAGAAAUGAGUUUUGCUUGUAUAAAUGAAAGAAAUCCAAAUGAUAACUAAUGUAUAGUGGUACAUGAGAAAAAUAAUUUCAGCCCCUGUGUAAAGUCAAAAAGAGAAAAUAUUAAAAGAAAGGAUAAUGUCAUUGAGUUCGGUGAAGUGAAAGAAAAUAAAAAACAUGGGAUUUAGUCAAACUUAGUGUCCCAAUCAGCAGAAAAAGGUUUUAGAAACUCACCUCAAGUUAAGCCAACUAUUAGGAGCUUUAUUUAAUCAUGGCUUUCUAAUGUAUAGUACUCCAAUACUAAACGAGGGCUACCUCUACGCUUGCAAAUGUAAAUGAAAUUGAGUUCGUGACGCACAAUGAAGUGAGCAAAAUGAGUUGAGAUCUGAGAAUAUAUUAAAGAAAAUAUGAAUCAAUGAAUUUUGGUUAAAAAAAACAAAUGCUGGUUCUUCAAGACCUGCGUGUAUUGUGUAAGUUUUGUUAGGAGAAGGAAAGCAUUUUGGUCUAAAACGCACUAAAUCGGAUUCAUUUGCUUGAUAUCUAAUAAGGGUGAAUUAACCACUCGCCCACAGCAAUUCAAGUACCCAAAAAAGUUUUGUGGGGGCUAAAUUUCUUCUUUAAUUAUAAAAAAUAAUUGAACGGAGGAUAAAAAUUUAGGCCAUGUAUAACAAUAACUAAUAUAAACUAGUCCUAAUAAUAGUAUAAUUGUAAAUAUCAGUUGUAGUCUCAUACAAUAUAAGUUUAUAGAUUAUAAUAUCGGCAUAAAAAGAAAAAUGAUAUCUGACGGUCAAUCAAUAAAAGGAUAAAAACUUUGGAGUAACAUACCACAAAGUCAAUGUAGCUGGACAGUGAAUAUAAUAUGUAAACAAAUUUAAAUGGGAUAAUACCAUACGGUACAUACAUAACAUUUUAAAACUGAAUUAAAAAAAUAAAAUUAAAACUGAAUUAGAAUUCGUAUGUGUAUCCAGCUACCUUGCCACAGUUGUAAGGUACCCUAACUUUGCAACAAUUUCAUCCUUCGUGCAUUCGGUCACAAAGUCCAAAUUAGGCACGUUUAAGAAUCGAACUGAAAAACUAAAAAAAAGAAUCCGGCGAUAUUUGCGAACCGGAAACGAGCCAGCGUUAUGCUUAUGUCAUUUCAGAGAUAUCAACAGUCGUGCUUUCAGUCCUUAAACCUCAAGGGCAUUUUCGUCCUUUCACUCAAGCGUGAAACUGCAUGUAAGAACUGCUUCGCUUACACGCUCCAUGCACAUUUAAAGGCACCACUGUCGGAUAAAAAAUAUCCAUCCAUUUGAUCAUUUCAAAACAAAACGAAAAAAAAAAUCUCAGUAAUUGAACUGAACGAGUCUCAGAAAUGGCAUCGAAAAGUAAGAUUCUAUUCAUCGGCGGGACAGGGUAUAUCGGUAAAUUCACUGUCGAAGCGAGCGUAAAAGCCGGCCACCCGACGUUCGUGCUCGUGAGAGAAUCCACAAUCUCUGGUCCUUCCAAAUCUCAACUCCUCGAUCACUUCAAAAACCUCGGCGUCAAUCUCGUCAUAGUGCGUUUUCAUUUUUCUCUUUUCUUAAUUUUUUAUUCCGAUCAUUUUUACACGUCGAAGUGUAGCAUCUACUACUUAAUAUACAUAAUGAUAUUAUUAUUUUUUAAUUUUUUUGGGUUGCUGUUAUUAUUAUGCAGGGAGAUGUGUUGAAUCACGAGAGUUUGGUGAAGGCGAUUAAACAAGUGGACGUGGUGAUAUCAACGGUCGGUCACACUUUAUUAGCUGAUCAGGUCAAGAUUAUUGCUGCCAUUAAAGAAGCCGGUAACGUUAAGGUAUAACAUAAUUAAUAUAAAUAUCUUGAAUUCCGAUCAGGAUUGUGCACUCGCGAACACGUGGUGAUUUAUUCUUGGUGUGGAGCUCGCUGUAGAGUAGAGCUCCCAGUUCAGCUAAUAAACACCCCGUCACAUGCGCAAUUGCGCCUCAAAAUAAUUUAAUUGAUUAAUUAAGGAUAAAUACCAAUGGCAUGAAAGCAAUUAAAAUUAGUUGAUGUUUAUAAAUUAUUUAUUACUCAGAGAUUCUUACCAUCGGAAUUUGGAAAUGAUGUUGAUCGAGUUGAAGGCGCCGUAGAGCCAACAAAAUCGACGUAUGACGUAAAGGCGAAAAUCCGCCGAGCCGUUGAGGCAGAAGGCAUUCCGUACACUUACGUAGAAUCUUAUUGUUUUGAUGGCUAUUUCCUCCCCAAUUUGUUGCAGCCUGAGGCCACUGCCCCCCCUAGGGAUAAGGUUGUCAUCUUAGGCGAUGGAAAUCCAAAAGGUAAUAUAAUUUAAUUAAGCUCUGUUUGUUUGGUAUGUAUUUCGGUGUUAAUGUUAUUGUCUGUUGUACAAUGGAUGGUCUUGCUUGGUACUGUUGUUGGAGAGCUGCAGUGUUUUGAUAAACACCUCUAUCCUUAGCUUUCAAGUUAAGUUGAUUUUAUACAACACUUGUUUAAUUCAAAACUUGUAAUAUUCUUACUACUUUGAUAAAAAAUAUUACGAUUAAAGCAUUAAUGGCACCAUAAUACGAAAUGAACCUUAAGUGGUCAUUAUAGAUUUUAAGAUAGAGUUUUAAGUGAUUACCAGAUACUUUAGCUGCUGAACCGCCACAUCAUGGUUGCCACACAACAAUUUCAAACAGAACCUAAAUAACUUCAUUGCAAAACAGUUAAAUGAAUCUAACUUAGUUUCGUCGUUUGAUUUUCAGCUGUUUUUAACAAGGAAGAUGAUAUUGGAACCUACACUAUCAAAGCGGUUGAUGAUCCGAGAACCUUGAACAAAAACUUUUACAUUCAGCCUCCCGGUAAUAUUUACUCAUUCAAUGAUCUUGUGUCUCUGUGGGAGAGAAAGAUUGGUAAAACCCUCGAAAAGGAGUAUGUUUCAGAGGAGCAGCUCCUAAAGAAUAUUCAAG
rnacentral:lncRNA from 1 species